GGUUAAGCGACUAAGCGUACACGGUGGAUGCCUAGGCAAUCAGAGGCGAUGAAGGACGUGCUAAUCUGCGAUAAGCGUCGGUAAGGUGAUAUGAACCGUUACAACCGACGAUUUCCGAAUGGGGAAACCCAGUGCAAUUCGUUGCACUAUCGUUUGAUGAAUACAUAGUCAAACGAAGCGAACCGGGGGAACUGAAACAUCUCAGUACCCCGAGGAAAAGAAAUCAACCGAGAUUCCCCUAGUAG
rnacentral:rRNA from 1 species